AUUCGAUUAGAGUUUGAUCAUGGCUCAGGACGAACGCUGGCGGCGUGCUUAACACAUGCAAGUCGAACGGAAAGGCCCUGCUUUUGUGGGGUGCUCGAGUGGCGAACGGGUGAGUAACACGUGAGUAACCUGCCCUUGACUUUGGGAUAACUUCAGGAAACUGGGGCUAAUACCGGAUAGGAGCUCCUGCUGCAUGGUGGGGGUUGGAAAGUUUCGGCGGUUGGGGAUGGACUCGCGGCUUAUCAGCUUGUUGGUGGGGUAGUGGCUUACCAAGGCUUUGACGGGUAGCCGGCCUGAGAGGGUGACCGGCCACAUUGGGACUGAGAUACGGCCCAGACUCCUACGGGAGGCAGCAGUGGGGAAUAUUGCACAAUGGGCGGAAGCCUGAUGCAGCAACGCCGCGUGCGGGAUGACGGCCUUCGGGUUGUAAACCGCUUUCGCCUGUGACGAAGCGUGAGUGACGGUAAUGGGUAAAGAAGCACCGGCUAACUACGUGCCAGCAGCCGCGGUGAUACGUAGGGUGCGAGCGUUGUCCGGAUUUAUUGGGCGUAAAGGGCUCGUAGGUGGUUGAUCGCGUCGGAAGUGUAAUCUUGGGGCUUAACCCUGAGCGUGCUUUCGAUACGGGUUGACUUGAGGAAGGUAGGGGAGAAUGGAAUUCCUGGUGGAGCGGUGGAAUGCGCAGAUAUCAGGAGGAACACCAGUGGCGAAGGCGGUUCUCUGGGCCUUUCCUGACGCUGAGGAGCGAAAGCGUGGGGAGCGAACAGGCUUAGAUACCCUGGUAGUCCACGCUGUAAACGGUGGGUACUAGGUGUGGGGUCCAUUCCACGGGUUCCGUGCCGUAGCUAACGCUUUAAGUACCCCGCCUGGGGAGUACGGCCGCAAGGCUAAAACUCAAAGGAAUUGACGGGGCCCCGCACAAGCGGCGGAGCAUGCGGAUUAAUUCGAUGCAACGCGUAGAACCUUACCUGGGUUUGACAUGGAUCGGGAGUGCUCAGAGAUGGGUGUGCCUCUUUUGGGGUCGGUUCACAGGUGGUGCAUGGCUGUCGUCAGCUCGUGUCGUGAGAUGUUGGGUUAAGUCCCGCAACGAGCGCAACCCUUGUUCACUGUUGCCAGCACGUUAUGGUGGGGACUCAGUGGAGACCGCCGGGGUCAACUCGGAGGAAGGUGGGGAUGACGUCAAGUCAUCAUGCCCCUUAUGUCCAGGGCUUCACGCAUGCUACAAUGGCUGGUACAGAGAGUGGCGAGCCUGUGAGGGUGAGCGAAUCUCGGAAAGCCGGUCUCAGUUCGGAUUGGGGUCUGCAACUCGACCUCAUGAAGUCGGAGUCGCUAGUAAUCGCAGAUCAGCAACGCUGCGGUGAAUACGUUCCACGGGGCUUGUAG
rnacentral:rRNA from 1 species